UUUUCCUGGAUAACGUUACAGCAUUCGGAGGAUAAUAAUCGCUGGCGGUGUUUUGUUUGCCAAAGAAAUGGUAAAGAUUUAUCUCUUUUUUGCAAAAAUAAAAAUUGUAUUUCUAGAUCAAUGGUAUGUACGUCAUUUGAAACAUGGCUUAACAUGCGAAACACAGUAUAUUGAUGUCUAUCAAGACAAAAUUCGAAAUUUUGAUAGAAAAUUAUCAAAAAGAAACUGGUUAAAAGAUAUUUCAACCGUAUUUUAUGCUCAUUUGCAUCGAUAAAAAACCCUUCAGGCAUGCCCUUAUAAUACGAGGUAGAAAAAUUACUGUGAGUCUAAUGUUUCGUGGUUUUAUAAAACAUUACAGUUUAGCAGGGUCUGUUACAGUUGUGACGUGCUACUUCUGAAUGUGUUACAGAUUUAGGAUGAUACUUUUUGGAAUACGUUUAGACAAUAUACAAUACCAGAAUAGUAAAUCAAAUUUAAACAUCAUAAAUUAUGCGGUUUUUUUGUAAGAUGUUACAAAUAUAUUAUACCAAGUGAAUUUUUUUCGAAUUUCGAAAUUCUAAAGCAAUAUCUAUAUAUACUAAAAUGAUAUAAACAUUUUCAAUGGAAAGCUAGUGUUCUAUAUCCAAUGUAUAUGAUACCAUAAUCACCAGUUCGCAUUGAAUCGUCAUUUGCACUUUAAUCGGCUGAUCCUUUAUUAAUAGUACCUGUUUAGGCUACCAAGCAAUCAAUAUGACCUAGCUUCAGAAGAGCUUGGCAAUGCGUGUCUUUAACAACGAUUUCAUUUACUAAUAUGCUUAAAAGAAAAUAUCCUCUCGGAAUCGGUAAUGGAGAACUUAAGAAAUUAAUUGACUUUUCUAAAGAAAGUUCGUACAUGACAUCAAUAAACUGUGUUUCGCAUGUUAAGCCAUGUCUCAAAUGACAUACAUACCAUUGAUCUAGAAAUACAUUUUUUAUUUUUGCGAAAAAAAGGAUAAAUAUUUACCAUUUCUUUGGGGCAAACAAAACACCGCCAGCGACUAUUAUCCUCCGAAUGCUGUAACGUUAUCCAGGAAUACUGUAACAGCAGCAUCCUAAAUCUGUAACAUGAUAUCCUCCACAACCGAGUCUCGUGUAACAGUUUUCCUCUCACGUGUACUGAGUAGUCCGGAAUUGGGUUUUCCCCAAUCAGUGUAGCGCGUGCAUGAAUCUUGGUAAAACCAGACGUAAACCAAGUUCCGGAGUGUAGUGCCGGAAUAGCGGCCUGUUACCAACGCUCAUGGGGGUGGCAGACCGGCAGAUGUGACGUCACUCAAGGGGCCACGCGACAAUUCAGGCCAACCAGAGUCGUUCGAGUUCCUGCAGCCGUAUUGUCAAGUUGUGUAUUGUUGUUCCUCGCCAUCGAUCUACUCCAGCCUCGAGAAUAUCGGUUAACCAGUAGGAUUCUAUAUAAAUGUUCUGCAAAGGAUUCAUUUUAACGUAUAUUACAGUAGUGCACAUGUUUAAAAAGAACUCAGCGUUGUUAUAUUUUCUGGUGAGUCUAUGCUAUUUUGAUGUAUACUACUAUUCCGCUUAAACUGGUCCUAGAUUUCAUUAGAUGUUUCAAAAUAAUUGAUAUAUCUCUAUAUCAUAUUUCAUCAAAUAAAUAUAUAUUUUUAACAUAAUGUUUUCAAUCUUGUGUAAUUCGAUGACAUUUAGAUCUAAAAAAACUAAAUAUUCACUAGUAAAGCUUUGAA